AGAGUUUGAUCCUGGCUCAGGAUGAACGCUAGCGACAGGCUUAACACAUGCAAGUCGAGGGGCAGCACAGGUAGCAAUACCGGGUGGCGACCGGCGCACGGGUGAGUAACGCGUAUGCAACUUGCCUAUCAGAGGGGGAUAACCCGGCGAAAGUCGGACUAAUACCGCAUGAAGCAGGGGCCCCGCAUGGGGAUAUUUGCUAAAGAUUCAUCGCUGAUAGAUAGGCAUGCGUUCCAUUAGGCAGUUGGCGGGGUAACGGCCCACCAAACCGACGAUGGAUAGGGGUUCUGAGAGGAAGGUCCCCCACAUUGGUACUGAGACACGGACCAAACUCCUACGGGAGGCAGCAGUGAGGAAUAUUGGUCAAUGGCCGAGAGGCUGAACCAGCCAAGUCGCGUGAGGGAUGAAGGUUCUAUGGAUCGUAAACCUCUUUUAUAAGGGAAUAAAGUGCGGGACGUGUCCCGUUUUGUAUGUACCUUAUGAAUAAGGAUCGGCUAACUCCGUGCCAGCAGCCGCGGUAAUACGGAGGAUCCGAGCGUUAUCCGGAUUUAUUGGGUUUAAAGGGUGCGUAGGCGGCCUUUUAAGUCAGCGGUGAAAGUCUGUGGCUCAACCAUAGAAUUGCCGUUGAAACUGGGGGGCUUGAGUAUGUUUGAGGCAGGCGGAAUGCGUGGUGUAGCGGUGAAAUGCAUAGAUAUCACGCAGAACCCCGAUUGCGAAGGCAGCCUGCCAAGCCAUUACUGACGCUGAUGCACGAAAGCGUGGGGAUCAAACAGGAUUAGAUACCCUGGUAGUCCACGCAGUAAACGAUGAUCACUAGCUGUUUGCGAUACACUGUAAGCGGCACAGCGAAAGCGUUAAGUGAUCCACCUGGGGAGUACGCCGGCAACGGUGAAACUCAAAGGAAUUGACGGGGGCCCGCACAAGCGGAGGAACAUGUGGUUUAAUUCGAUGAUACGCGAGGAACCUUACCCGGGUUUGAACGCAUUCGGACCGAGGUGGAAACACCUUUUCUAGCAAUAGCCGUUUGCGAGGUGCUGCAUGGUUGUCGUCAGCUCGUGCCGUGAGGUGUCGGCUUAAGUGCCAUAACGAGCGCAACCCUUGCCACUAGUUACUAACAGGUAAAGCUGAGGACUCUGGUGGGACUGCCAGCGUAAGCUGCGAGGAAGGCGGGGAUGACGUCAAAUCAGCACGGCCCUUACAUCCGGGGCGACACACGUGUUACAAUGGCGUGGACAAAGGGAAGCCACCUGGCGACAGGGAGCGAAUCCCCAAACCACGUCUCAGUUCGGAUCGGAGUCUGCAACCCGACUCCGUGAAGCUGGAUUCGCUAGUAAUCGCGCAUCAGCCAUGGCGCGGUGAAUACGUUCCCGGGCCUUGCACACACCGCCCGUCA
rnacentral:rRNA from 1 species